UACGGAGGGUGCAAGCGUUAUCCGGAAUGAUUGGGCGUAAAGCGUCUGCAGGUGGCUAUGUAAGUCUGCUGUUAAAGCGUGAGGCUCAACCUCAUAAGAGCAGUGGAAACUACAUGGCUAGAGUGCGUUCGGGGCAGAGGGAAUUCCUGGUGUAGCGGUGAAAUGCGUAGAUAUCAGGAAGAACACCGGUGGCGAAAGCGCUCUGCUAGGCCGCAACUGACACUGAGGGACGAAAGCUAGGGGAGCGAAUGGG
rnacentral:rRNA from 1 species